AGUGAACGCUGGCGGUAGGCCUAACACAUGCAAGUCGAACGGCAGCACAGCGGUAGCAAUACUGUGGGUGGCGAGUGGCGGACGGGUGAGGAAUACAUCGGAAUCUACCUUUUCGUGGGGGAUAACGUAGGGAAACUUACGCUAAUACCGCAUACGACCUUAGGGUGAAAGUAGGGGAUCGCAAGACCUUACGCGGAUAGAUGAGCCGAUGUCGGAUUAGCUAGUUGGCGGGGUAAAGGCCCACCAAGGCUACGAUCCGUAGCUGGUCUGAGAGGAUGAUCAGCCACACUGGAACUGAGACACGGUCCAGACUCCUACGGGAGGCAGCAGUGGGGAAUAUUGGACAAUGGGCGCAAGCCUGAUCCAGCCAUACCGCGUGGGUGAAGAAGGCC
rnacentral:rRNA from 1 species